GAUGAACGCUGGCGGCGUGCUUAACACAUGCAAGUCGAACGAAGCACUUUCUUACGAUCCCUUCGGGGUGACGAGUUAGUGACUGAGUGGCGGACGGGUGAGUAACGCGUGGGUAACCUGCCUUAUACAGGGGGAUAACAGUUGGAAACGGCUGCUAAUACCGCAUAAGCGCACAGUACCGCAUGGUACAGUGUGAAAAACUCCGGUGGUAUAAGAUGGACCCGCGUCUGAUUAGCUAGUUGGUGAGGUAACGGCCCACCAAGGCGACGAUCAGUAGCCGAUCUGAGAGGAUGAACGGCCACAUUGGGACUGAGACACGGCCCAGACUCCUACGGGAGGCAGCAGUGGGGAAUAUUGCACAAUGGGCGAAAGCCUGAUGCAGCGACGCCGCGUGAGUGAUGAAGUAUUUCGGUAUGUAAAGCUCUAUCAGCAGGGAAGAUAAUGACGUAC
rnacentral:rRNA from 4 species